GAUGAACGCUGGCGGCGUGCCUAAUACAUGCAAGUCGAGCGAACAGACGAGGAGCUUGCUCCUCUGACGUUAGCGGCGGACGGGUGAGUAACACGUGGAUAACCUACCUAUUAGACUGGGAUAACUUCGGGAAACCGGAGCUAAUACCGGAUAAUAUAUUGAACCGCAUGGUUCAAUAGUGAAAGACGGUUUUGCUGUCACUUAUAGAUGGAUCCGCGCCGCAUUAGCUAGUUGGUAAGGUAACGGCUUACCAAGUCAACGAUGCGUAGCCGACCUGAGAGGGUGAUCGGCCACACUGGAACUGAGACACGGUCCAGACUCCUACGGGAGGCAGCAGUAGGGAAUCUUCCGCAAUGGGCGAAAGCCUGACGGAGCAACGCCGCGUGAGUGAUGAAGGUCUUCGGAUCGUAAAGCUCUGUUAUUAGGGAAGAACAAAUGUGUAAGUAACUAUGCACGUCUUGACGGUACCUAAUCAGAAAGCCACGGCUAACUACGUG
rnacentral:rRNA from 1 species